rnacentral:lncRNA from 1 species
CCGAACCCAGCGAAGCCCGGUCCUAUGCCCCCAAUUACCCAACGGUCCCUCAUCGCCCAGCGCAGCUGCUGCCUGGCCAGGCCCUUGCUCCGGAGGAGUCACUGGAAAGUUCCAGGGAAUCUGGGCCUCCCGGACUCUCCACCGGCGUUUCACUGCUCCCUUCCCAUGCCAGGACUCCUCUGUGCCUACCUGGCCUCCAGGAUCUUUGCCAACGGUCUUGAGGAGCCAGGCACAGGAUUGGACUCUGCCCGGGCAGGAGGAUGAAGACAGUGACUUCCCCACCAAGACUCCCGGCAGAGGGCCAGAGGCAGGGAAGUGUGGUGGCAGGAGGGCCAGCCUUGCCGUGGCUGGACCAGGGGCCAGCGCUUGCUAACUCGGGGUCCUGGCCGAGUUGUGUGGCCUCUCCGACCCUCGGUCUCCUCAUCUGUAAGAUGGGUCCCACAGCCCCUCCCCGGGGAGGUGUUUGCAGGGCUCCAUGAGAAGGCCUUACACACACUGUGGCUAUGGUGAUCUGUGAGCCGGUCAGAGGACCCGAGAGGCAGCAGGGUGACUCAGCAGUUUCCCUGCCGGGCCGCCCCUGGGUCAUCGUCCCCUAGAGCCUCUCCCUGAGGGGUGUGAGGGAGCGGAUCCCAUUAAGAGGCGAAGGAGGCAGGGAGGUCCUGGAACCAGCGGGGCCUAUGGCGGCCGGCGGGGAAGGAGGCGCCGGCAGUGCUGCCACCUAGCGGUGUGAGGAGGCGGUGCUGCACCAGGGAGGCCCUUCCUGCAACCGGAGUGGGCCUGGAAGGGGCCGGCUUCGCACACUAGGAGCCAGCAGGGCAGGGAGGGGCUCCGGACCGGACCGUGUCGGCUCCAGGAACCCCUUGGGCAGCCUUGUGGACACCUGCUGACCUCUCUCAGAAUGGCUUCUAAGUGCAUAGAUGAAAAAGCCCAGGAUUAUUAGGAAACCAAUUCUAUGCAAAUGCAUUAUCAAAAGAGUAAUAAAAACAAAUUUCUGAUAUAGCCGUAUAUAUUAUUUAUUAAUACACUUAGUAAGCAAUUGACAGAUCCUAAAUUACGUUCC